AACGAACGCUGGCGGCAUGCCUAACACAUGCAAGUCGAACGAGACCUUCGGGUCUAGUGGCGCACGGGUGCGUAACGCGUGGGAAUCUGCCCUUGGGUCCGGAACAACAGUUAGAAAUGACUGCUAAUACCGGAUGAUGACUUCGGUCCAAAGAUUUAUCGCCCAGGGAUGAGCCCGCGUCGGAUUAGCUAGUUGGUGAGGUAAAGGCUCACCAAGGCGACGAUCCGUAGCUGGUCUGAGAGGAUGAUCAGCCACACUGGGACCGAGACACGGCCCAGACUCCUACGGGAGGCAGCAGUGGGGAAUAUUGGACAAUGGGCGAAAGCCUGAUCCAGCAAUGCCGCGUGAGUGAUGAAGGCCUUAGGGUUGUAAAGCUCUUUUACCCGGGAUGAUAAUGACAGUACCGGGAGAAUAAGCCCCGGCUAACUCCGUGCCAGCAGCCGCGGUAA
rnacentral:rRNA from 1 species